rnacentral:rRNA from 1 species
UAGUGGCGAACGGGUGAGUAACACGUGAGUAACCUGCCCCUGACUCUGGGAUAAGCCCGGGAAACUGGGUCUAAUACUGGAUAUGCACCGUGGACCGCAUGGUCCUUGGUGGAAAGAUUUUUUGGUCAGGGAUGGACUCGCGGCCUAUCAGCUUGUUGGUGAGGUAAUGGCUCACCAAGGCGACGACGGGUAGCCGGCCUGAGAGGGUGACCGGCCACACUGGGACUGAGACACGGCCCAGACUCCUACGGGAGGCAGCAGUGGGGAAUAUUGCACAAUGGGCGAAAGCCUGAUGCAGCGACGCCGCGUGAGGGAUGACGGCCUUCGGGUUGUAAACCUCUUUCAGUAGGGAAGAAGCGAAAGUGACGGUACCUGCAGAAGAAGCGCCGGCUAACUACGUGCCAGCAGCCGCGGUAAUACGUAGGGCGCAAGCGUUAUCCGGAAUUAUUGGGCGUAAAGAGCUCGUAGGCGGUUUGUCGCGUCUGCCGUGAAAGUCCGAGGCUCAACCUCGGAUCUGCGGUGGGUACGGGCAGACUAGAGUGAUGUAGGGGAGACUGGAAUUCCUGGUGUAGCGGUGAAAUGCGCAGAUAUCAGGAGGAACACCGAUGGCGAAGGCAGGUCUCUGGGCAUUAACUGACGCUGAGGAGCGAAAGCAUGGGGAGCGAACAGGAUUAGAUACCCUGGUAGUCCAUGCCGUAAACGUUG